GACAGACUUUGUCCCGGCUGCAGGAAGUAGCCGGUCAGCCGGUACACCGACGCCGUGACGAGGAGCUGCAGCUUCAAACCAGUCUCUCCUCCCACUGCAAACCUUCAUCAUGAAGUCUUCAUCAUCACCUUCAUCAUCACCAUCAUCAUCAUCGUCUACCUCACUGACAGCUGCAUUAGACUCUCAUCUCCCCUCCUCUUCAUCGUCUCCUCCUCUUCUGUCUCUAAGAAGUCCAGAGCUACAAAAACAGUUUCUAAAAGAGUGUCAGAACAGAUGUGUGUCUCACAGCGAUGACGGAGAAUCCAGGGUCGCCUCCUCCUCCUCCUCCUCCUCCU